rnacentral:rRNA from 1 species
GUGGGGAAUCUUGCGCAAUGGGCGAAAGCCUGACGCAGCCAUGCCGCGUGAAUGAUGAAGGUCUUAGGAUUGUAAAAUUCUUUCACCGGGGACGAUAAUGACGGUACCCGGAGAAGAAGCUCCGGCUAACUUCGUGCCAGCAGCCGCGGUAAUACGAAGGGGGCUAGCGUUGCUCGGAAUUACUGGGCGUAAAGGGCGCGUAGGCGGAUAGUUUAGUCAGAGGUGAAAGCCCAGGGCUCAACCUUGGAAUUGCCUUUGAUACUGGCUAUCUUGAGUAUGGAAGAGGUAUGUGGAACUCCGAGUGUAGAGGUGAAAUUCGUAGAUAUUCGGAAGAACACCAGUGGCGAAGGCGACAUACUGGUCCAUUACUGACGCUGAGGCUCGAAAGCGUGGGGAGCAAACAGGAUUAGAUACCCGGGUAGUCC